rnacentral:rRNA from 1 species
CCUACGGGGUGGAGCAGUGAGGAAUAUUGGUCAAUGGGCGCUAGCCUGAACCAGCCAAGUAGCGUGAAGGAUGACUGCCCUAUGGGUUGUAAACUUCUUUUAUAUGGGAAUAAAGUGCAGUAUGUAUACUGCUUUGCAUGUACCUUAUGAAUAAGGAUCGGCUAACUCCGUGCCAGCAGCCGCGGUAAUACGGAGGAUCCGAGCGUUAUCCGGAUUUAUUGGGUUUAAAGGGAGCGUAGGCGGGGUGUUAAGUCAGGUGUGAAAGUUUGCGGCUCAACCGUAAAAUUGCAGUUGAUACUGGCAGCCUUGAGUACAGUAGAGGUAGGCGGAAUUCGUGGUGUAGCGGUGAAAUGCUUAGAUAUCACGAAGAACUCCGAUUGCGAAGGCAGCCUGCUGGACUGUAACUGACGCUGAUGCUCGAAAGUGUGGGUAUCAAACAGGAUUAGAUACCCGGGUAGUC